rfam:Bacillus sp. FJAT-25509 scaffold5, whole genome shotgun sequence.
CUAGAAAAAGGCAAACCAAUUGAGAGAUUGGGACGCAAAGCCACUGAUCUUAGUUGUGAACAUAGGAAAAAAGCACUAAUUCACUGUAUUUUUUAACUAUUAAACGAACUAAGAUAGCAGGGUUACCUAGG